UACGGUCGCAAGGCUAAAACUCAAAGGAAUUGACGGGGGCCCGCACAAGCAGCGGAGCGUGUGGUUUAAUUCGAGGAUACGCGAAGAACCUUACCUGGGUUUGACAUCAUAAUGGUAGGAUUUAGAGAUAGAUCUGACCCUUCGGGGAGUUAUGACAGGUGCUGCAUGGUUGUCGUCAGCUAGUGCCGUGAGGUGUUCGGUUAAGUCCGCAUACGAGCGCAACCCUCGGCGUUAGUUACAAGUGUCUAGGGCAGCUGCCCGUGGCAAACGGGGGGAAGGUGGGGAUGACGUCAAAUCAGCAUGGCCUUUAUAUCCAGGGCUACACACACGCUACAAUGGCACAUACAAUGGGUAGCGAAGCCGUGAGGUGGAGCCAAUCUCGAAAGUGUGUCUCAGUUCGGAUUACAGGCUGCAACUUGCCUGUAUGAAGUCGGAGUUGCUAGUAACCGUGUAUCAGCACGGCACGGUGAAUACGUUCCCGGGCCUUGUACACACCGCCCGUCACGUUAUGGGAGCUGGUUACGCCUGAAGUCGGGAAGCCAACCGCAAGGAGGCUACUGCCGAAGGCAGAACUGGUAACUGGGACGAAGUCGUAACAAGGUAGCUGUAGCGGAAGCUGCGGCUGGAUCACCU
rnacentral:rRNA from 1 species